rnacentral:rRNA from 1 species
UACGAAGGGUGCAAGCGUUACUCGGAAUUACUGGGCGUAAAGCGUGCGUAGGUGGUUUGUUAAGUCUGCUGUGAAAGCCCCCGGCUCAACCGGGGAGGGUCGUCGGAGACUGGCGGGCUUGAGGGCGGUAGGGGCUGGUGGAAUUCCCGGUGUAGUGGUGAAGUGCGUAGAGAUCGGGAGGAACACCCGUGGCGAAGGCGGCCAGCUGGGCCGACCCUGACGCUGAGGCGCGAAGGCGUGGGGAGCGAACGGG